UGCCGGCUGUCCAUAGGCCGGAUCUGUUCCGAAGAGGCUUGUCCUUCAUUGCCAGGUGUGCGGCGGGGGUCUCCCCACCAAUCCACGGCAGCAUUGUCCGGUGUUGAACACCUCGCCUGUCGUGACCUCCAUCGCACGACGGCGUGGCUUCAUC
rfam:Pseudorhodoplanes sinuspersici strain RIPI110, complete genome.